rnacentral:rRNA from 1 species
UGUAAGCGUAUACCAAAGUUGUUGCAGUUAAAACGCUCGUAGUCGGAAUUUGGCAGUUCCGGAUGUGUGCACGUCGUGUGCGCACUUCGCGGGGAUUGCUUAUGUGGUCUUGCGUAGGAUGAGGCACUUUUAUUAGUGAACGUCCUCACGCAACCACUUUUUACUGUGAGAAAAUCAGAGUGCUCAAAGCAGGCAUUUGCCGUGAAUGUAUUAGCAUGGAAUAAUAGAAUAGGACUUGGUUCUAUUUUGUUGGUUUGUUGGGACUGAGUAAUGAUUAAGAGGGACAGUUGGGGGCAUUUGUAUUUCGGUGCUAGAGGUGAAAUUCUUAGAUUACCGAAAGACAAACUGCUGCGAAAGCGUCUGCCAAGGAUGUUUUCAUUGA